rnacentral:rRNA from 1 species
UACGGAGGAUCCGAGCGUUAUCCGGAUUUAUUGGGCUUAAAGGGUGCGUAGGCGGCCUAUUAAGUCAGGGGUGAAAGACGGUAGCUUAACUAUCGCAGUGCCUUUGAUACUGAUGGGCUUGAAUGUAGUUGAGGUAGGCGGAAUGUGACAAGUAGCGGUGAAAUGCAUAGAUAUGUCACAGAACACCAAUUGCGAAGGCAGCUUACUAAAGUAUGAUUGACGCUGAGGCACGAAAGCGUGGGGAUCAAACAGG